ensembl:lncRNA
UGUAGACAAAUGGGGAGGGGGGUCAGGUAUGUACAAAACGGGAGGGGUGGGGGGCAGUGUGUUUGGGAUGUGGGGGGGACAGUGUGUUUGGGAUGUGGGGGGGACAGUGUGUUUGGGAUGCGGGGGGGACAGUGUGUUUGGGAUGUGGGGGGGACAGUUGAAGGUUGGGCGUCAGUGACCGUCAUCCCAUUAGCUCCAGCCAUCCUAAGGUCUCAGGGGCGUCUCUGAGGGACAGACAGACGAGCUGCAUCAGUAACAACGACGUACUCCCAGUGUUCUUCAUCUCUCAGUCUUUCAGCCAAUAGCUGGAGUGUUUCCUGCCCGUCUGCGUAGCCACGGUUACCAGGCAUUCUUAAAAGACACAGAGUCUCUCUCUCCUUGUGAUGCCAACCCCGUUUAGGGGUGUGUGUGUGUGUGUGGGUGUAGUUAUUCAGGUCCUAGAGUUGCUGUUAAUGGAAUGUUUGGAAGAGUCCGUGGGUUCUACAGCUGGUGGUCGUCUCUGCUAUGGAACACACACAGACAAUUAGAUAACCAGACAUUCUCACACACACACACACACACACACACACACACACACAGACAAUUAGAUAACCAGACACACACACACAAACA